ACUCAAAUGAAUUGACGGGGGCCCGCACAAGCGGUGGAGCAUGUGGAUUAAUUCGAUGCAACGCGAGGAACCUUACCUGGACUUGACAUCCCGGGACCGCCGUGGAAACACGGUUUUCUCUUCGGAGACCCGGAGACAGGUGGUGCAUGGCUGUCGUCAGCUCGUGUCGUGAGAUGUUGGGUUAAGUCCCGCAACGAGCGCAACCCUUGCCGAUAGUUGCCAGCAUUUAGUUGGGGACUCUAUCGGGACUGUCGGUAACAAGCCGAAGGAAGGUGGGGAUGACGUCAAGUCAGCAUGCCCCUUAUGUUCAGGGCUUCACACGUGCUACAAUGGCCGGUUACAAAGAGAAGCAAGUCCGCAAGGCCAAGCCAAUCUCCAAAGCCGGUCUCAGUUCAGAUUGAGGGUUGCAACUCACCCUCAUGAAGGCGGAAUCGCUAGUAAUCGUGAAUCAGCAUGUCACGGUGAAUACGUUCCCGGGCCUUGUACACACCGCCCGU
rnacentral:rRNA from 1 species